rnacentral:rRNA from 1 species
UGGGGAAUAUUGGACAAUGGGCGAAAGCCUGAUCCAGCCAUGCCGCGUGUGUGAAGAAGGUCUUCGGAUUGUAAAGCACUUUACGUUGGGAGGAAGGGCAGUAAGCGAAUACCUUGCUGUUUUGACGUUACCGACCGAAUAAGCACCGGCUAACACUGUGCCAGCAGUCGCGGUAAUACAGAGGGUGCAAGCGUUAAUCGGAAUUACUGGGAGUAAAGCGCUCGUAGGUGGUUCGUUAAGUUGAAUGUGAAAGCCCCGGGCUCAACCUGUGAACUGCCUACAAAACUGGCGGGCUUGAGUAGGGGAGAGGGUGGGGGAAUUUCCAGUGGAGCGGUGAAAGGCGGAGAUAUAGGGAGAAACACCAGUGGCGAAGGCGACCAACUGGGCUCAUACUGACACUGAGGUGCGAAAGCGUGGGGAGCAAACAGG